GACGAACGCUGGCGGCGUGCCUAAUACAUGCAAGUCGAACGCACAGUUUAUACCGUAGCUUGCUACACCAUAGACUGUGAGUUGCGAACGGGUGAUUAACGCGUAGGUAACCUGCCUGGUAGCGGGGGAUAACUAUUGGAAACGAUAGCUAAUACCGCAUAAUAUUAAUUAUUGCAUGAUAAUUAAUUGAAAGGUGCAAUUGCACCACUACCAGAUGGACCUGCGUUGUAUUAGCUAGUAGGUGAGGUAACGGCUCACCUAGGCGACGAUACAUAGCCGACCUGAGAGGGUGAUCGGCCACACUGGGACUGAGACACGGCCCAGACUCCUACGGGAGGCAGCAGUAGGGAAUCUUCGGCAAUGGACGAAAGUCUGACCGAGCAACGCCGCGUGAGUGAAGAAGGUUUUCGGAUCGUAAAGCUCUGUUGUAAGAGAAGAACGGGUGUGAGAGUGGAAAGUUCACACUGUGACGGUAUCUGACCAGAAAGGGACGGCUAACUACGUG
rnacentral:rRNA from 1 species